UACGGAGGGUGCAAGCGUUGUUCGGAAUCAUUGGGCGUAAAGCGCGUGUAGGCGGCUUGGCAAGUCGGUUGUGAAAGCCCGGGCCCAACCCCGGAACUGCAUCUGAAACUGCCUGGCUAGAGUCCCGGAGAGGAAGGCAGAAUUCCCGGUGUAGGGGUGAAAUCCGUAGAUAUCGGGAGGAACACCUGUGGCGAAGGCGGCCCCCUGGUUGGAUACUGACGCUGAGACGCGAAAGCGUGGGGAGCAAACAGGG
rnacentral:rRNA from 1 species